rnacentral:rRNA from 1 species
UACGUAGGGUGCAAGCGUGUCCGGAAUUAUUGGGCGUAAAGAGCUUGUAGGCGGUUUGUCGCGUCUGCUGUGAAAUUUCGGGGCUCAACCCCGAACUGCAGUGGGUACGGGCAGACUAGAGUGUGGUAGGGGAGACUGGAAUUCCUGGUGUAGCGGUGAAAUGCGCAGAUAUCAGGAGGAACACCGAUGGCGAAGGGCAGGUCUCUGGGCCACUACUGACGCUGAGAAGCGAAAGCAUGGGGAGCGAACAGG